rnacentral:rRNA from 1 species
UACGUAGGGUGCAAGCGUUGUCCGGAAUUAUUGGGCGUAAAGAGCUCGUAGGCGGUCUGUCGCGUCGGCUGUGAAAACUUGGGGCUCAACCCCAAGCCUGCAGUCGAUACGGGCAGACUAGAGUGCGGUAGGGGAGACUGGAAUUCCUGGUGUAGCGGUGAAAUGCGCAGAUAUCAGGAGGAACACCGAUGGCGAAGGCAGUGUCUGGGCCGAUACUGACGCUGAGGAGCGAAAGCGUGGGGAGCGAACAGG